rnacentral:rRNA from 1 species
GAUGAACGCUGGCGGCGUGCCUAAUACAUGCAAGUCGAGCGAACAGACGAGGAGCUUGCUCCUUCGACGUUAGCGGCGGACGGGUGAGUAACACGUAGGUAACCUACCUAUAAGACUGGGAUAACUUCGGGAAACCGGAGCUAAUACCGGAUAAUAUUUCGAACCGCAUGGUUCGAUAGUGAAAGAUGGCUUUGCUAUCACUUAUAGAUGGACCUGCGCCGUAUUAGCUAGUUGGUAAGGUAAUGGCUUACCAAGGCAACGAUACGUAGAUGACCUGAGAGGCUGAUGGGCCGCACGAGAACGUAGACACGGUCCAGAGUCCUACGGGAGGCAGCAGUAGGGAAUCUUACACAAUGGGCGGAAGCCAGACAGAGCAACGCCAAGUGAGUUAUGAAGGUCUUAGGAUCGUAAAGCUCGCCUAGGAGGGAAGAACAAACGUGGGAGUAACUGUACAGGUCUUGACGGUACUUAAUCAGAAAGCCACGGCUAACUACGUG